rnacentral:lncRNA from 1 species
CUAGAAAGUCUUACAAUCUGAAACGGAGGGAGUACUGUCAAUCGCCGCAUCUACGCGUGGGCGCGCGGCUGCGCCGCCUCCGCAAAGCCGCUGCCGCCAACGACGGCAAAAGGAGAGCCGCGGCGGCCAUAAGUCGAACGGACCACCGCCGUGCCAGACGUGUACCACCUUCACUGCCGGGGCGCAGCGCCGCCGAUGGCCGCCAUCGCCGGGCACAGAGCCACCGCACUGAGCAAUAUGGGUCCUUCGUUCCCACUGAAGGAACCGUUGAUGGAUCUGUUUUGUGUACGUUCUUCCCCCCUUAUUUUUUUCUAAGAACUAAUGCAUCUUGUUUCAUAUGUCUGAUGGGUUUUGGAUUUGCAAGUUCAGAGUACUGCAUCUAUCGUUCCUAGUGCCUAGUUCGGCUGGAGUUUCAUCAAGGCUGACUGGACCACCAGCAAGGAAAAAACAUCAACUUGUUUUUAUUUUGGCACUGCUUACAGUCUUACACUAAUUUAUACAUUAUUCUUGGUCCUCUGUUAUCUGGGCUUUGGUGGAGAUAAUAUAAUCCAAUCAGAAAGUUCAUUA